UUCGGGAAUCUUUCAUUUGGUGCAUUGGCCGGGAAACAGCACGACCACCCAGAGGUCCUAGACCCACUUAGAGGUAAGAUUCUUUGUUCUGUUUUGGUCUGAUGUCUGUGUUCUGAUGUCUGUGUUCUGUUUCUAAGUCUGGUGCGAUCGCAGUUUCAGUUUUGCGGACGCUCAGUGAGACCGCACUCCGAGAGGGAGCGCGGGGUGGAUAAGGAUAGACGUGUCCAGGUGUCCACCGUCCGUUCACCCUGGGAGACGUCCCAGGAGGAACAGGGGAGGAUCAGGGACGCCUGGUGGACCCCUUUGAAGGCCAAGAGACCAUUUGGUGUUGCGAGAUCGUGGGUUCGAGUCCCACCUCGUGCCCAGUUGCGAGAUCGUGGGUUCGAGUCCCACCUCGCGUUUUGUUGCGAGAUCGUGGGUUCGAGUCCCACCUCGCGUUUGGUCACGGGAUCGUGGGUUCGAGUCCCACCUCGUGUCUUGUUGCGAGACCGUGGGUUCGAGUCCCACCUCGCGUUUGGUCACGGGAUCGUGGGUUCGAGUCCCACCUCGUGCAGAGGGUCUCAAUUGGCCGGCCUUAGAGAGGCCAUCUGAUUCUUCUGGUUUCUUUUUUGUCUUAGUCUCGUGUCCGCUCUUGUUGUGACUACUGUUUUUCUAGAAAUGGGACAAUCUGUGUCCACUCCCCUUUCUCUGACUCUGGUCUGUUGCUAUCUUGUUUUUGCUUGUGGUUUACGGUUUCUGUGUGUGUCUUUUGUGUCUCUUUGUGUUCAGACUUGGACUGAUGACUGACGACUGUUUUUAAGUUAUGCCUUCUGAAAUAAGCCUAAGAAUCCUGUCAGAUCCCUAUGCUGACCACUUCCUUUCAGAUCCUCAGCUGCCCUGCCUCCCACUCCAACUCCAGAGAGCAGCCAGCGGGUCACAGUGGUCCCGCCCAUGGACCUGGAGCCUAGGGAAAAAUGAGCUCGGAAAUCCGGAGCAAAUGAGGAGUGGUCCCUGAGAAGUCAGUGGCCUGGAUGUUGUGGCUGCUGAAAUAAAAAGAAGAGGAGGCUGUUCGAGUAGCCGGCCAAGAGCGCUGCAGGUUCCCAGGCAGCUUCUCAUUCCCCUGUCCCUCCCAUCCCGUCUCUUGUUAACAGAAAAACUGCUUUCACUUUAAGAUAAGUGCCGGUUGCAGCCAGCUGUGAGAGCUGCACUCCCGUCUCUGCCCCUGAGUUGCUGGCAGUGAGUCUGUUCUAAACUCCAGUGAGAGAGGCAUCCACCCACUUGGGGCUUCUGUCCAAGGUAAGGAGCACCUGUGAGUCUAACUGCCAGGCUCUGAUGGGGGUCUCGUCUCUGUGGGACUAGAAAGUCCCAACAAUCUGACCAAGGUAACAAGAAGUUAAGACAAAGACAGAGACCAGAGUCAGAAUCAGAACUGUGCUGUGAGACAAAGAGAUAAGAAAAAUAAAAUGCUGGUCACAAAAGUCAGGAAAAUUAGAAAACUUAGAUAGUACCUGGCAACAAAAGAAAGCUUUUGGCUGAAGAUCAAUGUGUUUAAGAAAUAACAAAAGGGGUGCUAAUACAGAAGCUGAGUCCUUAGAAGAGUCCGGUGGCCUACCUGUUGAAGCAGCUAGAAAAAGAGACUGUGUUUCAUACUCCUCCACCGACCAGUGCAAAACAAGCUAAAAAGUUCCUGGGCACUGCGGGCUUUUGCAGAUUGUGAAUUCCAGGUUUGCUGAGUUAAAGAGAUAAACAGUCCUUCGUAUAGAGAAAUAAAGAGAACAAUCUUAGAUGGCCUUAGAUGCUCUUGAGACUGCCCUGAUGUUGUCCCCAACUUUGGGACUCCUAAAUGUAAAUGAGAACAACGGUUUUGCCAGAAGUUCUUACUCAGAGAUUGGGACCCUAGAAAAGACCUGUGGCAUACUUGCAAAAAAUUAGACCUGGUGGCUGUAGGAUGGCCUGCUUGUCUGCACAUAGUGGCUUCUGGUCAAGGACGCAGAUAAAUUGACUCUGAGACAAAACUUGGCACAUGUCCUAGAAAGUGUGGUUCAGCCCCCAUGACCGAUGGCUGACUAACGCUCUUGAAAGCAUUAUCCAACUGUUCCCCUGACGGAUGGACACAUUGUCAGAGCUUUUUGUUGACUGAACGAGUGACCUUCGCUCCCCCUGCUGUCCUCAAUCUCACUACUGCCUGAGACUUCACCUACUCAUCAUUGUGCUGACAUUCUGGCAGAAGGAACUCAUACUCGAAAUGAUCUGAAGGAUCAGAUCAGCCUUGGCCUGAGAGUUUGAGCUGGUACACGGAUGGCAGUAGCCUGGAGGUUGAAGGUAAGCGGAAGGCGGGGACAGCAGUGCAGUGGUGGACAGAAAGCAAGUGAUCUAGGCCAGCAGCCUCCCUAAAGGAACCUCAGCCCAGAAAGCUAAACUUGUGGCUUUAAUACAAGCUCU
rnacentral:lncRNA from 1 species